rnacentral:tRNA from 1 species
CGGGACGGAGUAUGCCGGUAGUACGCCUGCUUUGGGAGCAGGUAGAUAGGGUUCGAUUCCCUACGUCCCGA